rnacentral:rRNA from 1 species
AUUGAACGCUGGCGGCAGGCCUAACACAUGCAAGUCGAGCGAGCGGCGGACGGGUGAGAAAUGCCUGGGAAUCGCCCAGUAGAGGGGGAUAACAGUGGGAAACGACUGCUAAAACCGCAUACGAUGGUGUUGCAGAGGGGGGAUUAGCGUGGUGGUGGGGUAAUGGCUCACAAAGGCGACGAUCCCUAGCUGGUCUGAGAGGAUGAUCAGCCACACUGGAACUGAGACACGGUCCAGACUCCUACGGGAGGCAGCAGUGGGGAAUAUUGCACAAUGGGGGAAACCCUGAUGCAGCCAUGCCGCGUGUGUGAAGAAGGCCUUCGGGUUGUAAAGCACUGUCAGCGAGGAGGCGUUACUCGCAGAAGAAGCACCGGCUAACUCCGUGCCAGCAGCCGCGGUAAUUC